rnacentral:rRNA from 1 species
AGGGGGCUAGCGUUGUUCGGAUUUACUGGGCGUAAAGGGCACGUAGGCGGACCAGCAAGUUAGGGGUGAAAUCCCGGGGCUCAACCCCGGAACUGCCUUUAAAACUGUUGGUCUUGAGUUCGAGAGAGGUGAGUGGAAUACCGAGUGUAGAGGUGAAAUUCGUAGAUAUUCGGUGGAACACCAGUGGCGAAGGCGACUCACUGGCUCGAUACUGACGCUGAGGUGCGAAAGCGUGGGGAGCAA